rnacentral:rRNA from 1 species
CUUGUAGUAUAUUGUUUAUGCACUGGAUCCAAUUAGAAAUCUGUAGUUAAGUGUGCUCGGGCUAGAUUAGUACUGGGAUGGAUGACCGCACGGGAAGUCCUAGUGUUUUACAUGC